CUAAAUGUAUUUCUCUUCAAUAACGUGUAGGUUUGGCAUAAUUAUAGCUUUGAUAGUCAUAUAAUAGGAAACAAUGGGAUCAAGCUUGCUGGGUUCCAUGUGGAUACCAUGCAUCUUGCACGACUUUUUGAUUCUUCUAGGAAACCCAAUAUUCACUUGAAGCACUUAUAAGUGACCCAAAGAUCAUGUCUCAAGGAAACUCAGAUGAUGAUGUUGAAUUAAUCAGUGGAAAGAUGUCAAUGAAAUCCAUCUUUGGUAAGAAAAAAUUAAAGAAAGAUGGAACUGAAGGAAAAAUUAUCACACUUCCUCCUGUUGAUGUUCUACAAAGAGAAGAACGAAGAUCGUGGAUCAGAUAUUCUGCUUUAGAUGCAGUGAAUACAUUAAAACUUUUUAAUCGCUUGAAAGAAAAACUUAUGCAUGUACCAUGGUUUUUGAAAGGCAGUAUACAAGGAACAAUGUAUAACUUCUAUGAAAAGUGCUGGCGCCCUUUUGGUGUUCUAUUAGUAAAGAUGGAAUCUGAAGGAAUUCUGGUCGAUAAAGUCCAUCUAUCAAAGAUUGAAAAGCUCGCGGUUGGUGAUAAGCAAAUAGUUGCAGAUAAAUUCAGACGGUGGGCAUCCAAGUACUGUGAGGAUGCCAAGUAUAUGAAUGUGGGAAGUAAUACUCAAAUAAGGCAGCUGCUAUUUGAUGACACAUCGAGGAGAGGUCGAAUUGAGAUGAAUUUUGAGUCAAAGCCGUUGUCGAAGUUAUUUAAGGUCCUUAAUACUGAGAAAAUAUUUGAAGAAGGGAAGAAGGCUCCUCUCAAGUAUCGUACAAUUCAUUUACAUAGGAUUUGUGAAGGUUUGCAAACCGAUAUGUAUACAGCUAGUAGGUUUCCGUCUUUAAGUGCUGAUGCUCUAAAAGUAUUUGCUAGAAACAUCCCCAGCAAUCAGAUUUAUUGGAUCGAUAAUGCAUGUAGUGAUGAGUACGUCACUGAAGAAGGGAUAAUGGACGACCACAAGCUGUCAGAUACAGGGACAGAUUAUGAAGACUGCUCUUAUGGUACUGCAUUUGAGGCAUUUGGAGGAGGCAAUAAAGGAAGGGAGGCCUGUGAAGCUAUUGCUGCUCUUUGUGAAACUACUGCCAUUGAUUCACUGAUAACAAAUUUCAUUAUUCACUGAUAGCUGCUCUUGGUUCGUGACAGCUCCCAUGGGGACGAUAGAGACAAGGAGCCCCUCCUGCUUUGGGGUUUCCCUGUCGCCUUCCCGAGUUAAACUUCAAGUCGUAAGCCUUUUCAUGUGUUGCUCCGCCAAUGAGAGAGGUAGAGGAGACACGUCGCGAGUUUGAUAAACAAAGGACGGCACCGAAUCCGGUUUAAUUGAUAUCGAGUUGAGAUUUUGAGAUGGGGAGACCACCUUGCCGCGACAGAGAUGACCUGAAGAAAGGCCCGUGGACUCCGGAAGAGGACCAAAAGCUCGUUGUCUGCAUACAGAAGCACGACCAAGGAAACUGGAGGACUCUUCCUAAGAAAGCUGGGCUCGCGAGGUGUGGCAAGAGUUGCCGGCUCCGGUGGACAAACUACCUCUGGCCGGACAUCAAGCGAGGAAGGUUCUCGUUUGAAGAGGAAGAGACCAUCAUCCAGCUGCACAGCAUGUUAGGCAACAAGUAGAAUUCUUCUCUAACUUAUUUUUAGUGAGAAUUCUACCUCUGUUUUCAUUCUUCUGCUCUU